UACGAAGGGGGCUAGCGUUGUUCGGAUUUACUGGGCGUAAAGCGCACGUAGGCGGAUCGUUAAGUCGGGGGUGAAAUCCUGGAGCUCAACUCCAGAACUGCCUUCGAUACUGGCGAUCUUGAGUCCGGAAGAGGUGAGUGGAACUCCUAGUGUAGAGGUGGAAUUCGUAGAUAUUAGGAAGAACACCAGUGGGCGAAGGCGGCUCACUGGUCCGGUACUGACGCUGAGGUGCGAAAGCGUGGGGAGCAAACAGG
rnacentral:rRNA from 1 species